rnacentral:rRNA from 1 species
UGAUGCGAUCAUACCAGCACUAAAGCACCGGAUCCCAUCAGAACUCCGAAGUUAAGCGUGCUUGGGCGAGAGUAGUACUAGGAUGGGUGACCUCCUAGAAAGUCGUCGUGUUGCAUUCC